rnacentral:rRNA from 1 species
CCCGGUGAUCAUGGGCUCCUGGCCAUACCCGUUCCCAUUCCGAACACGGUCGUCAAGCAGGAACCGCCGAUGAUAUUGCCAUGCGAGAAAGUAGGUUGUCGCCGGGG